rnacentral:tRNA from 1 species
GAGCGGCUACACAGCGGUGUGAUUCGCAGUGUUCUUGAAAACCGCUAGGCCGGGUGACCGGUCUCGUGGGUUCGAAUCCCACGCUCUCCGC